rnacentral:rRNA from 1 species
UUAAGCGACUAAGCGUACACGGUGGAUGCCCUGGCAGUCAGAGGCGAUGAAGGACGUGCUAAUCUGCGAUAAGCGUCGGUAAGGUGAUAUGAACCGUUAUAACCGGCGAUUUCCGAAUGGGGAAACCCAGUGUGUUUCGACACACUAUCAUUAACUGAAUCCAUAGGUUAAUGAGGCGAACCGGGGGAACUGAAACAUCUAAGUACCCCGAGGAAAAGAAAUCAACCGAGAUUCCCCCAGUAGCGGCGAGCGAACGGGGAGGAGCCCAGAGCCUGAAUCAGUGUGUGUGUUAGUGGAAGCGUCUGGAAAGGCGCGCGAUACAGGGUGACAGCCCCGUACACAAAAAUACACAUAUUGUGAGCUCGAUGAGUAGGGCGGGACACGUGGUAUCCUGUCUGAAUAUGGGGGGACCAUCCUCCAAGGCUAAAUACUCCUGACUGACCGAUAGUGAACCAGUACCGUGAGGGAAAGGCGAAAAGAACCCCGGCGAGGGGAGUGAAAAAGAACCUGAAACCGUGUACGUACAAGCAGUGGGAGCCUCUUUAUGGGGUGACUGCGUACCUUUUGUAUAAUGGGUCAGCGACUUAUAUUCUGUAGCAAGGUUAACCGAAUAGGGGAGCCGAAGGGAAACCGAGUCUUAACUGGGCGUUAAGUUGCAGGGUAUAGACCCGAAACCCGGUGAUCUAGCCAUGGGCAGGUUGAAGGUUGGGUAACACUAACUGGAGGACCGAACCGACUAAUGUUGAAAAAUUAGCGGAUGACUUGUGGCUGGGGGUGAAAGGCCAAUCAAACCGGGAGAUAGCUGGUUCUCCCCGAAAGCUAUUUAGGUAGCGCCUCGUGAAUUCAUCUCCGGGGGUAGAGCACUGUUUCGGCAAGGGGGUCAUCCCGACUUACCAACCCGAUGCAAACUGCGAAUACCGGAGAAUGUUAUCACGGGAGACACACGGCGGGUGCUAACGUCCGUCGUGAAGAGGGAAACAACCCAGACCGCCAGCUAAGGUCCCAAAGUCAUGGUUAAGUGGGAAACGAUGUGGGAAGGCCCAGACAGCCAGGAUGUUGGCUUAGAAGCAGCCAUCAUUUAAAGAAAGCGUAAUAGCUCACUGGUCGAGUCGGCCUGCGCGGAAGAUGUAACGGGGCUAAACCAUGCACCGAAGCUGCGGCAGCGACACUAUGUGUUGUUGGGUAGGGGAGCGUUCUGUAAGCCUGUGAAGGUGGCCUGUGAGGGUUGCUGGAGGUAUCAGAAGUGCGAAUGCUGACAUAAGUAACGAUAAAGCGGGUGAAAAGCCCGCUCGCCGGAAGACCAAGGGUUCCUGUCCAACGUUAAUCGGGGCAGGGUGAGUCGACCCCUAAGGCGAGGCCGAAAGGCGUAGUCGAUGGGAAACAGGUUAAUAUUCCUGUACUUGGUGUUACUGCGAAGGGGGGACGGAGAAGGCUAUGUUGGCCGGGCGACGGUUGUCCCGGUUUAAGCGUGUAGGCUGGUUUUCCAGGCAAAUCCGGAAAACCAAGGCUGAGGCGUGAUGACGAGGCACUACGGUGCUGAAGCGACAAAUGCCCUGCUUCCAGGAAAAGCCUCUAAGCAUCAGGUAACAUCAAAUCGUACCCCAAACCGACACAGGUGGUCAGGUAGAGAAUACCAAGGCGCUUGAGAGAACUCGGGUGAAGGAACUAGGCAAAAUGGUGCCGUAACUUCGGGAGAAGGCACGCUGAUAUGUAGGUGAAGCGACUUGCUCGUGGAGCUGAAAUCAGUCGAAGAUACCAGCUGGCUGCAACUGUUUAUUAAAAACACAGCACUGUGCAAACACGAAAGUGGACGUAUACGGUGUGACGCCUGCCCGGUGCCGGAAGGUUAAUUGAUGGGGUUAGCGGUAACGCGAAGCUCUUGAUCGAAGCCCCGGUAAACGGCGGCCGUAACUAUAACGGUCCUAAGGUAGCGAAAUUCCUUGUCGGGUAAGUUCCGACCUGCACGAAUGGCGUAAUGAUGGCUAGGCUGUCUCCACCCGAGACUCAGUGAAAUUGAACUCGCUGUGAAGAUGCAGUGUACCCGCGGCAAGACGGAAAGACCCCGUGAACCUUUACUAUAGCUUGACACUGAACAUUGAGCCUUGAUGUGUAGGAUAGGUGGGAGGCUUUGAAGUGUGGACGCCAGUCUGCAUGGAGCCGACCUUGAAAUACCACCCUUUAAUGUUUGAUGUUCUAACGUUGGCCCGUAAUCCGGGUUGCGGACAGUGUCUGGUGGGUAGUUUGACUGGGGCGGUCUCCUCCUAAAGAGUAACGGAGGAGCACGAAGGUUGGCUAAUCCUGGUCGGACAUCAGGAGGUUAGUGCAAUGGCAUAAGCCAGCUUGACUGCGAGCGUGACGGCGCGAGCAGGUGCGAAAGCAGGUCAUAGUGAUCCGGUGGUUCUGAAUGGAAGGGCCAUCGCUCAACGGAUAAAAGGUACUCCGGGGAUAACAGGCUGAUACCGCCCAAGAGUUCAUAUCGACGGCGGUGUUUGGCACCUCGAUGUCGGCUCAUCACAUCCUGGGGCUGAAGUAGGUCCCAAGGGUAUGGCUGUUCGCCAUUUAAAGUGGUACGCGAGCUGGGUUUAGAACGUCGUGAGACAGUUCGGUCCCUAUCUGCCGUGGGCGCUGGAGAACUGAGGGGGGCUGCUCCUAGUACGAGAGGACCGGAGUGGACGCAUCACUGGUGUUCGGGUUGUCAUGCCAAUGGCACUGCCCGGUAGCUAAAUGCGGAAGAGAUAAGUGCUGAAAGCAUCUAAGCACGAAACUUGCCCCGAGAUGAGUUCUCCCUGACUCCUUGAGAGUCCUGAAGGAACGUUGAAGACGACGACGUUGAUAGGCCGGGUGUGUAAGCGCAGCGAUGCGUUGAGCUAACCGGUACUAAUGAACCGUGAGGCUUAACCUU